rnacentral:rRNA from 1 species
AGCGAACGCUGGCGGCAGGCUUAACACAUGCAAGUCGAGCGCCCCGCAAGGGGAGCGGCAGACGGGUGAGUAACACGUGGGAACGUGCCUUUUGGUUCGGAACAACCCAGGGAAACUUGGGCUAAUACCGGAUAAGCCCUUACGGGGAAAGAUUUAUCGCCAAAAGAUCGGCCCGCGUCUGAUUAGCUAGUUGGUGGGGUAAUGGCCCACCAAGGCUACGAUCAGUAGCUGGUCUGAGAGGAUGAUCAGCCACAUUGGGACUGAGACACGGCCCAAACUCCUACGGGAGGCAGCAGUGGGGAAUACCGGACAAUGGGGGCAACCCUGAUCCAGCCAUGCCGCGUGAGUGAUGAAGGCCUUAGGGUUGUAAAGCUCUUUUAGCAGGGAAGAUAAUGACGGUACCUGCAGAAAAAGCCCCGGCUAACUUCGUGCCAGCCGCCGCGGUAA